rnacentral:rRNA from 1 species
GAUGAACGCUGGCGGCGUGCCUAACACAUGCAAGUCGAACGCAAAGCGAAAGGUGCUUGCCCCUUUCAAGUGAGUGGCGAACGGGGGGGUAAUACGGGGACAACCUGCCCCAAGGCAGGGGAGCACAAUUGGAAAAAGAUGCUAAUAACGACGAAAACUUAGUGUUGCAUGACACAAAGUUAAACGACGCUUCGGCGUCACCUAGAGUGGGAUUCGCGGUGCAUUAGUUAGUUGGUGGGGUAAAGGCCUACCAAGCCACGGACGCAUAGCCGAGUGGAGAGACGGAUCGGCCACCUUGGAACUGAGACACGGCCCAAACCCCUACGGUAGGCUGCAGUGGGGAAUGUUCCACAAUGGGCGAAGGCCUGAUGUAGCAACGCCGCGUGGGUGAUAAGGGCUUUGGGGUCGGAAAGCACUUUUGUAUGGAAGGAACGGCUAGAUGAGGAAAUGAUGUUAGUUUGACGGUACCGUACCAGAAAGAAACGGCUAAAUACGUG